rnacentral:rRNA from 1 species
UACGUAGGCAGCGAGCGUUGUUCGGAGUUACUGGGCGUAAAGCGUGCGUAGGCGGCAGUCCAAGUCUGGUGUGAAAUCUCCCGGCUCAACCGGGAGGGUGCGCCGGAAACUGGGCUGCUGGAGUGCGGGAGAGGUAAGCGGAAUUCCCGGUGUAGCGGUGGAAUGCGUAGAUAUCUGGAGGAACACCGGUGGCGAAGGCGGCGUUCUGGACUGCAACUGACACUGAGGAACGAAAGCCAGGGGAGCAAACGGG